rnacentral:misc_RNA from 1 species
GGAAUCUUAUGUUCGUCAAGAUUGUUUUGUUUACCAGAAUUGAGUAUUUUAGAUUUCUGCUAAAAGUUGUGUUUAAUAAUUGUUGGAUUGUGUUUUAAGUAGAUGAAGUAUACAGGAUGUCACGUAGUAUCAAGGAGAAAUAUGAGAACACCAAUCCUCGGCGAAACCACACAGUUAUGUCUCCUGAAGAUGCUGCUGCCGGGAAGAGGACCAACUGGUCGGAGUUGGAGAUAACAGGAUCUAUUCGCAAUCUAAGCCCCAAGCUAUGGCACCUAACAAAUCUGACGUGCCUGUACCUGAAUGAUAACAACUUGGUCCGUGUGCCAGCUGAAAUCCAACAAUUGGGGUUGUUACGCAUGCUGGACCUGUCCUGUAACAAACUUCGCAGUCUUCCUGCGGAACUUGGCGAACUAAUUUAUCUCAGGGAACUGCUGUUAAAUCACAAUCAUAUUCGGACACUGCCAUAUGAAUUGGGAAAACUCUUUCAGCUUCAAAUUUUGGGAUUGGCCGGAAACCCUCUCAGUAAAGAAUGUCUCAAGCUGUACAGUGAAGCCAACGGUACCCAGAAACUGCUCACUUACCUUCUGGACAGCUUACAAGUGAGAUCUCCACAACCACCGGAGAGACCAUGGAUCCCGCUGGCUAGGCCGAAUACGACGAAACCUACAUGUCUCAUGACAGUGAUGUGCUACAAUGUGUUGUGCGACAAGUACGCUACCCGUCAGAUGUACGGCUACUGUCCAUCCUGGGCGCUCACCUGGGAGUAUCGUAAGAAGGCAAUCCUUGCAGAGAUCAGGCACUACACCGCCGACAUUAUCAGCUUGCAGGAGGUGGAGACUGACCAAUUUUACAAGUUCUUCCUGCCAGAACUGAAGCGUGAUGGCUAUGACGGAAUAUUCUCACCUAAGUCGAGAGCUAAGACCAUGUCAGAGAACGAGCGGAAGUAUGUAGAUGGCUGUGCUAUAUUCUACAGAACUGCCAAGUUCUCACUCAUCAAGGAGCACCUGGUGGAAUUCAAUCAGCUGGCGAUGGCCAACUCUGAAGGUUCUGAUGACAUGCUCAACCGUGUCAUGCCCAAGGAUAACAUUGGGCUUGCAGCGUUGCUCAAAACCAAGGAGGCAGCUUGGGACAACGGUCUGCCGCCGGAUGUCCACCAGGUUCACCAACCACUCCUGGUCUGCACAGCUCACAUUCACUGGGAUCCGGAGUUCUGUGAUGUCAAGUUGAUCCAGGUGAUGAUGUUGUCCCACGCACUCCGUGGUAUACUUGAAGAGUCCAGCCUUCAUUUCCGCCCCAACUCCAACAAUACUCCAGUUCAGCUUCUGCUCUGCGGCGACUUCAACUCUCUCCCAGACUCUGGGGUUAUUGAAUUUUUAUCAUCUGGCCGUGUGUCAUCUGACCAUCAAGAGUUCAAGGACCUGCCAUACAAAUCUGUACUUCAGAAGAUCUCAGGCAGUGAAAAGCCUAAUGAGUUCACACAUUCCUUCAAACUGUCAUCAGCGUACAGUGAAGACAUUAUGCCUUACACAAACUACACGUUCCACUUCAAAGGUAUCAUUGAUUACAUAUUUUAUUCAAAACAGUACAUGACACCACUAGGACUACUGGGGCCCCUUGCUCCUGAAUGGCUGAAAGAAAACAAGGUGAUAGGCUGUCCACACCCGCACAUACCUUCCGAUCACUUCCCUCUGCUGGUGGAGCUGGAAAUGACGCCAAGUGUGAUGGGCCAGAGCAAUGGGCUGAUCCGAAGGUAGCACCAGGCAGCUCCCGUCUCUAGUCCACACCGAGGUGUUCUCCCCAUCUGUGCCUAAUCAGUACAAACCACUCACUUUUUGGGAUGUAUCUGUCCCACCUUGGUAUGAAGAAGCCACUGAGAAGUCGUAGUUAACUCUCAAACCUGAAUCAGAAAACCUGUUGCAAAUGGUAAUUUUUAUGCACUUUCAAGCACAAAGAAUUUUUAUAUAUUUUAACACUACCAUUUAUACAGAAUAUACAAAAAGUAUAUACCUUAAAAAUAUUUAAAAAUAAAAAUUGUAAUAUUGUAAUGGAUGUUUUUUUUAAUGUAAUGUUCGAUAAAUAAACAGUUUAUGAUUGUUAAAGUAAGUGAAAGUUCCAAUCACAUAAUUGGAUACAGUUGGUGCAGUAUUCCCCCCUUGCUUCUUAUCAUUCCAACAGUUAAUAAUAAAUUGUGUCAAUUAAAGGCAUUGGUAGGAGUGGAGUGGAGUGGUGUGGUGUGGGCUUGUCCUCUAAAAUCACGUGUUCAUCCAGUUCGACUGUAAUUUAUUUCAUUGUUUUAGACCUAAGGCAAAUAUGGCAGCCACACUUAAAUGCGGUUCACGAUUUACUAGACAUUAAGUAAGUCUCUAAAUGUUUUAUUUACAGUGGUACCUUCGAGUACCGAGGUUUUACUUCGAGGGUUAGGUGACUGAUGUUUGCUCUGUUUUGCUGACAGAAACUUAUGUGAUGUGUUUUACAAUAAAAGUUGUUUCGCAAAGCGUUUUUCCAGUUACCACAUUUCAUGGAUCUGUAGAAACAUGUGUUGUCCGCACACAAGAUUAUUUACACUCUCUUAUUUUGAAAAACAGUAAUUUUUGUGGUACAAGUGUAUUCAGCAUGAUUUUUACUACUUAAGAAAAAUUUGUUUGCAUUUACUUGUGACUUAACCUUGUACCGGUAUUGAAUCAUUGUGAUAAACGGGAACAUUUAGCGACUUCCUGUGAAUUUUUAGCUGAUAGCUUGUAAGUGGCGUUUAAGUGUGGUCCAUACUGUGUUAAAAUAGCUAUACAUUAGUUUAAGCACCACUUUCAAGAAUUUACAUAAGUUAAAUCAAACACUGUAGUAGUCUUGUAUUGAAUGUCGUCGGGUGAUAAGGAAGAUCUCAGUGCCUGAGUAUUCUAAUUGGCCGAUGGUACAAUUCAUAGAUAGGCUUUAACUAAUCUCUAGUUAUUUUUUCAACUGUUUUUUACCAUGUUAGAGCUAGGUAACUCUCCGGUCUGUGUAUAUAUGAGAGUGACUGGGCGAUACAUAGGUGAGACAGUCUAUGGACUCACUCAUGGUUUAUUUAUUUAUGUAGUUAUGUUUAGCUUAAGUCUUAGAUUACUGGGUGGUAUAUGAAGGGUGUAUCGUGAUAUAUUUUAGCAUCCGACCGAUAAACUAAUAAUUUUUUAACUUUAGAUUAUUGUAUUUUUAUAUUGUUAUAUUUUAUUAUGACAAAAAUUUCAGAGUAAAUUAUUUAUAUUUAAUUCAUGACUGUAAUUGUUUGCGUAUUUUGUGUUUUUUUUUUUUGGAUGAAAGACAGUAAUUUUUAGUUUUUGUCCAUUAACAUUUCAGAGAGAUUUAGAAAUUAAAGUUUAUUUUUAAUUUAUUGAGCCAAAUUUCAGUAUUGAAUUAUUGUACAUUGAAGAUUUCUUUUCUUUUGGUAAAAGUUUUUUACUAUAAGAACUUAUACGAUUGAUAAUAUUUUCUGUGUUGUGAAUUAAAGGUAAAGCAAUAUAUCAGGCUAUUUUGUGAAUAAAUAUUGAUAUACUUAUAAUAUUUUAUGUGGUACGUUGUAAAAAUUAACACUGUCUUUUGUCCAUAUAUUUCUGUCAAGUAUUUGGAAAUCCUUUAUUUAAGUAGCAGAUUAUAGAUUAUCUUUUUGUAUUUUUUAUAAGUAUUGGUUUUUAUUUCUCUACUGUUGUAUUGGCUUAAAUCCUAAAGUUAUGUAGGCUUUUGAACACCUCUACAGCAUGCAACGGUUAUCUGUUAGGUUAUAAAGAUGGGUUGUACUUAGAUUUACGCAUUUGUUUUGGGUUAUUGUGAUCAACCUGUUUAAUUUACUCAGAUGUUUAGUAAUCUACAACCAAUCAUUGUUGAUAAAAUUUGUUUUUAUCAUUUAUGUGCAUGACAUGUCAAUAAACGUAUUAAUCUUUCUGA